rnacentral:rRNA from 1 species
AUGUUGGAACAAUGCAACGUGGCUGUCACCCCAGGAAAUAAGCUGUCAGUAUUCUCAGCUAUGGUCACCUUUCUUCAGGUGAAGACAUCUGAGUGGAUGACCAACAAAUCAUUCAAUGCGAUGUUGGCUGCUUUCCGCAAAUCUUUCCCAGAUGCGUUUGAGCUGGCACACACCUGCAGUAAAAUGAAGAAUUUCCUUCGUGCAGUUGGAAUUGGAUAUGAUAUGAUCCAUGUUUGUAAGAGUAAUUGUGUUCUGUUCUGGAAGGAUUAUGCCAACUUAAGUGAAUGCCCAAAAUGCAAAUCAUCAAGAUGGAAAGAUGGUGAUGCUGUGAAGAGGAUUCCUCAUAAUGUUCUGAGACAUUUUCCAAUUAUACCAAGAUUGCAGAGGUUGUUUCAUGAUGCUGAAACAAGAGAGGAUGUACUUUGGCAUUCUAGGAACCAGGAGUACAGAGAUCAGAAUGUAAUGAGCCAUCCAUCUCAUGGUAGUGAGUGGAAAAGCUUCAAUCAUAAACACAAAAAGUUUGCUACUGACCCGAGAAACAUUAGACUUGGCUUAGCUUCAGAUGGAUUUAACCCAUUUGGCCACCAGAGCGCCACAUAUAGCAUGUGGCCAGUGCUUGUUAUCCGUUACAACAUGCCUCCAAAUGUCUGCACCAAAGAAUCAAACUACAUGAUGGCCUUGCUCAUCCCAGGUCCAAAAAGUCCUAGAAAGGAUUUUGAUUUGUUCAUGGAGCCUCUUGUGGAGGAACUUCAACAACUAUGGAGGGGUGUUCUCACUCGAGACCUAUAUAGCAACCCACCAGCUGAUUUCUUUUUGCGUGCUGUUAUAAUUUGGUGCAUCCAUGAUUAUCCGGCUUUGGGCACUAUGUCAGGGCGAUCGACACAUGGUUACAAUGCAUGUGUUCGUUGUGACAGGAAUCCGCUGUCAUACGCAAUACUUAGCAAGAUCUGUUACAUUGGACACCGUCGUUUCCUUGCCAAGGACAAGCCACAUCCUAGAAAAUACCGAAGACAUGUGUUCAAUGCAAAGCAUGAAAACAUUGAUGCGCUAAAGAGGCUCACCGCUGAUGAGUUGCACGUGGAAUUAGUGAAGGUCAGGCAUAUUACACCAGGAAACCAUCGUGGCAAUGGUAGCAGGAAAAGGAAGCGUGGUAGGGUAGAAGAGAGAUUAUUGUUUACCCGUAGGUCCACUUUGUGGUACUUGGAGUAUUGGAAAGAUUUGGAUCUGCGGCAUAAUCUUGAUGUGAUGCACAUUGAGAAAAAUAUAUGUGACAACAUUAUCGACACACUUUUUAAUAUUGAAGGAAAGACGAAAGAUACCUUAAAAUCUAGGAUUGAUUUGACACACCUGGGUAUCAGACAUGAUUUGCAGGUGCAAGAUGAAGGUAAACCACGGGAUAUGGCACCAGUUGUGUACGUCUUGGACAAGGUAAAAAGAAAAGAAUUCUGGGAGGUCCUAUCACGUGUGAGAUUCCCACAUGGAUUUGCUUCCAACCCUGAAAGGAGAGUCAGUGCAGAUGGAAACAAGGUACAAGGGUUGAAAACUCAUGACUGCUACGUCCUACUUCAAAGGAUUUUACCUGUUAUCCUUAGAUAA